rnacentral:rRNA from 1 species
AGUGAACGCUGGCGGUAGGCCUAACACAUGCAAGUCGAACGGCAGCACAGUAAGAGCUUGCUCUUACGGGUGGCGAGUGGCGGACGGGUGAGGAAUACAUCGGAAUCUACUUUUUCGUGGGGGAUAACGUAGGGAAACUUACGCUAAUACCGCAUACGACCUACGGGUGAAAGCAGGGGAUCUUCGGACCUUGCGCGAUUGAAUGAGCCGAUGUCGGAUUAGCUAGUUGGCGGGGUAAAGGCCCACCAAGGCGACGAUCCGUAGCUUGUCUGAGAGGAUGAUAGGCCACACUGGAACUGAGACACGGACCAGACUCCUACGGGAGGCAGCAGUAGGGAAUCGUGACCAAUGGGCGCAAGCCUGAUCCAGCCAUACCGCGUAGGUGAAGGAGGCCUGCGGGUGGUAAAGCCCUUUUGUUGGGAAAGAAAAGCAGCAGGUUAAUACCCCGCUGUUCUGACGGUACCCAAAGAAUGAGCACCGGCUAACUUCGU